UUUUUACAAAUAAGCAAUAAAACUAAAGCGUAGAAAUCAACUUAGGAGAGCGGUUCUUAUGGAAUACCAUAAUCGCUCCGGGUGCCUAACACCUUCCCGUAGCGAAAACGACCCCCGAACUUAGAAUCUAAGGGUUUUUUCUCAAUUUUUCCCUUCCCAAGAAAAAAGAGAGAUAUCAACGGUCAAAAGGUUCAAGUCCAAUUAAUGGCUUGGCACCCGAAAACCAUGAUAACAG
rnacentral:lncRNA from 1 species